UUUGAAAAUCUAAUUUAUCAACCAAACAUAAUAAUAACAACAUAAAAUUAAACAACACAAACAUAUUAAAAACAUAUGUGCCUAAACCAACCAAUUAUUGACAUUUUGACAGUCAUCACAAACCGUCUAGUCAAUUCCUAAAGAGAAAUUUAAAAGGACCAAAAAUAUUCUACUAAUGUUGUUGUAGAAACCCUCAUUUGAGAAAACACUCAUUGCUUGCAAAAAGUUGAAAAGCCUCUUGAAAGUAAUAAUUUAGUAACAUGCAACACUUUUCAGUUAAUUAGGUCAAACAGCUCCAAGGGAAGCUGCCAACAGCAACACCUUUUUGCAACAGUUUGCGGAAAGGUUGCAUUUGCCCCUGCACAUUUCAAGGUUCCGAAAAUUACCUUUUGGUGUUCAAAAAAUGACUCCAUCUUCAUUUCUUAUUAUAUUUUUGUACAAAUAAAUUAUUUCUAAAAACUAAUCUAUUACUUACAAAAAAUAAAUGAAGAAAACUAAUCUAUUUAAUUAUUACAUACCAUAUAAAUAAAUAAAUAUUACAACCAGUUUUUCAAUAAAUCAACACAAACAACAACACAAAGGUCAUGUGCUAGUUUAUGCACAUCAUACACAUUUAUAUACUCAAAAUUAUAUAAAACAACUCUUUGUUUCUAAGACAACUUUUAUGAUUAAAAAGAUGCAUGUAAACUUCUAGUCAUAAAAAUAACAAUUAUAAACAUUUUAAAAGUUAUAGUAGAAAAUAUGUAUAAAAUUUUCUUGUAAAGAGAAAAUCAUCCAUGUUUUCCAAACACAAAGAUUUUAUUAGCUUAACAUAAAAUCUAACAUAGCUUGCAAAAAUGGUUCUGAUACAAAUUGUUGGAUUUUUAUUUAAAAGUUGUUUCAAAAAUAUAAAUAUAGCAACAUAAGACUUUAGACUUGAACAAAAUAAAACUAAUUUUAUUCCCACCAAAAUAUCAUUUUGCAAGACUUAUAAUGAUUAAAACAACCAUAGAAAGAAAGCAUUACAACCUUUGAAGACAUUGGUUGCUUUUGGCAAUUUGGAAGUUGAUGAAGAUGGCUUUAAGCUCCAAGGAAGAAGCUCUCUAGAAAUAUCCACCAACAUUUAGC
rnacentral:lncRNA from 1 species